rnacentral:rRNA from 1 species
GACGAACGCUGGCGGCGUGCUUAACACAUGCAAGUCGAACGGAAAGGCCCUGCUUUUGUGGGGUGCUCGAGUGGCGAACGGGUGAGUAACACGUGAGUAACCUGCCCUUGACUUUGGGAUAACUUCAGGAAACUGGGGCUAAUACCGGAUAGGAGCUCCUGCUGCAUGGUGGGGGUUGGAAAGUUUCGGCGGUUGGGGAUGGACUCGCGGCUUAUCAGCUUGUUGGUGGGGUAGUGGCUUACCAAGGCUUUGACGGGUAGCCGGCCUGAGAGGGUGACCGGCCACAUUGGGACUGAGAUACGGCCCAGACUCCUACGGGAGGCAGCGGUGGGGAAUAUUGCACAAUGGGCGGAAGCCGGAGGCAGCGAGGCCGCGUGCGGGAGGACGGCCUUCGGGUGGAAAACCGCUUUCGCCUGUGACGAAGCGUGGGUGACGGUAAUGGGAAAAGAAGCACCGGCUAACUACGU